rnacentral:lncRNA from 1 species
GUGACACAUUUCUGCUUGAUUUGUCAAUGGAGAAGCCUAUCUGGAGGGAGAUACCAGUUUCAUGGACCCCACCAUCUCGGCUAGGUCACACUCUCUCAGUUUAUGGAGGAAGAAAAAUAUUGAUGUUCGGGGGUUUGGCUAAGAGCGGUCCCCUUCGGUUCCGCUCCAGUGACGUGUUUACUAUGGAUCUAAGUGAGGAGGAACCUUGUUGGAGAUGUGUAACAGGGAGUGGAAUGCCUGGUGCUGGAAACCCUAGCGGCAUAGCUCCUCCACCUAGACUUGAUCAUGUAGCUGUGAGCCUUCCUGGUGGUAGAAUCCUGAUCUUUGGUGGCUCUGUUGCAGGUCUUCACUCUGCCUCGCAGCUUUAUCUCCUUGAUCCUACUGACGAGAAACCUACAUGGAGGAUUCUAAAUGUACCCGGGC